rnacentral:rRNA from 1 species
UUAACGACUCUCGGCAACGGAUAUCUCGGCUCUCGCAUCGAUGAAGAACGUAGCGAAAUGCGAUACUUGGUGUGAAUUGCAGAAUCCCGUGAACCAUCGAGUCUUUGAACGCAAGUUGCGCCCGAAGCCGUCAGGCAGAGGGCACGCCUGCCUGGGUGUCACGC